GAUGAACGCUGGCGGCGUGCUUAACACAUGCAAGUCGAACGAGAAGUGGAGACGGAAACCUUCGGGCGGAAUACUUUAUUUCGAGUGGCGGCCGGGUGAGUAACGCGUGGGUAACCUGCCUCAUUCAGGGGGAUAACAGUUGGACACGACUGUUAAUACCGCAUAAGACUACAGCACCUCAUGGUGCGGGGGUUAAAACUCCGGUGGUAUGAGAUGGACCCGCGUUCGAUUAGCCAGUUGGCGGGGUAACGGCCCACCAAAGCGACGAUCGAUAGCCGAUCGGAGAGGAGGACCGGCCACGUUGGAACUGAGACACGGCCCAAACUCCUACGGGAAGGAGGAGUGGGGAAUAUUACACAAUGGGGGAAACACUGAUGAAGCGACGCCGCGUGAGUGAAGAAGUAGUUCGGUAUGUAAAGCUCUAUCAGCAGGGAAGAAAAUGACGGUACCGGAGUAAGAAGCCCCGGCUAACUACGUG
rnacentral:rRNA from 1 species